CGGCGGACGGGUGAGUAACACGUGGAUAACCUACCUAUAAGACUGGGAUAACUUCGGGAAACCGGAGCUAAUACCGGAUAAUAUAUUGAACCGCAUGGUUCAAUGGUGAAAGACGGUUUUGCUGUCACUUAUAGAUGGAUCCGCGCCGCAUUAGCUAGUUGGUAAGGUAACGGCUUACCAAGGCAACGAUGCGUAGCCGACCUGAGAGGGUGAUCGGCCACACUGGAACUGAUACACGGUCCAGACUCCUACGGGAGGCAGCAGCC
rnacentral:rRNA from 1 species